rnacentral:rRNA from 1 species
GAUGAACGCUGGCGGCGUGCCUAACACAUGCAAGUCGAGCGGAAGGACGAGAACUUUGCUCCUCUGGUGAGUGGGGCAGGGGUGAGUAUAACAUGUGGACAACCCCCCUAUAAGAGGGGAAUCACUUCGAGACAGCGGAGCUAACACCUGAUAAUAUCUUGAACCGCAGGGGGCAAUAGUGAACUACGGCCUUGCUGUUGGUUGUAGAUGGAUCCGCGCGUCAUUAGGUAGUUGGUAUGGUAAGGGCUUACCAAGGCAACGAUGCGUAGCCGACCUGAGAGGGUGAUCGGCCACACUGGGACUGAGACACGGUCCAGACUCCUACGGGAGGCAGCAGUAGGGAAUCUUGGGCAAUGGGCGAAAGCCUGACGGAGCAACGCCGCGUGUGUGAUGAAGGUCUUCGGAUCGUAAAGCUCUGUUGUUCGGGAAGAACAUCUUGGUACUUAUACGUGCGGAGGUUGACGGUACCUAAUCAAAAAGCACCGGCUAACUACGUG